rnacentral:rRNA from 1 species
CAAUGGGAGAAAUCCUGAAGCAGCAACGCCGCGUGGAGGAUGAAGGGUCUAUGACUUGUAAACUCCUGUAAAGAAGGAAAAAAUUCCCAUUUGAUGGGAGAUGAUGGUACUUCUGGAGUAAGCCCCGGCUAACUACGUGCCAGCAGCCGCGGUAAUACGCAGGGGGCAAGCGUUGUCCGGAUUUACUGGGCGUAAAGGGUGCUCAGGCGGAUUUGUAAGUCAGAGGUGAAAUCUUACAGCUUAACUGUGAAACUGCCUUUGAUACUGCAAGCCUAGAGUAUGGAAGAGAAUGAUGGAAUAUCUGGUGUAGCAGUGAAAUGCGUAGAUAUCAGAUAGAACACCAAUGGCGAAGGCAGUCACUUGGUCCAUUACUGACGCUAAAGCACGAAAGCGUGGGUAGCAAACA